rnacentral:misc_RNA from 1 species
UCUCUCAAACCUUCGGGUUUGGUAUUGAGUGAUACUCUUAGUUGAACUAGGCGUUUGCUUGAAAUGUAUUGGCAUGAGUGGUACUGGAUAGUGCUAUAUGACUUUCAAUGUAUUAGGUUUAUCCAACUCGUUGAAUAGUUUAAUGGUAUAUUUCUCGGUAUUCUAGGCUCGGCCUUACAAUAUAACAAACAAG